rnacentral:rRNA from 1 species
AAUUUUCGGCAAUGGGGGUAACCCUGACCGAGCGACGCCGCGUGAGUGAAGAAGGUCUUAGGUUUGUAAAGAUCUGUUGUAAGGGAAGAACCGUACCAGUAGGGAAUGACUGGUAUCUGUCGGUACCUUAACAGCAAGUCACGGCUCACUACGUGCCAGCAGCAGCGGUAAUACGUAGGUGGCAAGCGUUAUCCGGAAUUAUUGGGCGUAAAGGGAGCGCAGGCGGCUUAUUAAGUCUGAGGUUAAAGUUCGGGGCUCAACCCCGUGAUGCCUUAGAAACUGGUAGGCUAGAGUGCAGGAGAGGUGAGUGGAAUUCCAUGUGUAGCGGUAAAAUGCGUAGAUAUAUGGAGGAACACCAGUGGCGAAGGCGGCUCACUGGCCUGUAACUGACGCUGAGGCUCGAAAGCGUGGGGAGCAAAUAG